rnacentral:rRNA from 1 species
AGCAUGUGGUUUAAUUCGAUGCAACGCGAAGAACCUUUACCCACUCUUGACAUCCAGAGAAUUUGCUAGAGAUAGCUUAGUGCCUUCGGGAACUCUGAGACAGGUGCUGCAUGGCUGUCGUCAGCUCGUGUUGUGAAAUGUUGGGUCAAGUCCCGCAACGAGCGCAACCCUUAUCCUUUGUUGCCAGCGAGUAAUGUCGGGAACUCAAAGGAGACUGCCGGUGAUAAACCGGAGGAAGGUGGGAUGACGUCAAGUCCUCAUGGCCUUUAUGUCUAGGGCUACACACGUACUACAAUGGCCGGUACAAAGGGCAGCCACUCAGCGAUGAGGCGCUAAUCCCAUAAAGCCGGUCUCAGUCCGGAUCGCAGUCUGCAACUCGACUGCGUGAAGUUGGAAUCGCUAGUAAUCGUAGAUCAGCAUGCUACGGUGAAUACGUUCCCGGGCCUU